CGUAACGCGUGGGAAUCUGCCCUUGGGUACGGAAUAACUCAGGAGGAAAUUUGUGCUAAUACCGUAUAAUGUCUUCGGACCAAAGAUUUAUCAGCACCAAGGAUGAGCCCGCGUACGAUGCAGCUAUGAUGGGGGGGUAAAAGCCUACCAAGGCGACGGAUGCAUUGUAACUGGUCUGAGAGGAUGAUCUGCCACACUGGGACUGAGACGACGGCCCAGACUCCUACGGGAGGCAGCAGUGGGAAACAUUGGACAAUGGGCGAAAGCCUGAUCCAGCAAUGCCGCGUGAGUGAUGAAGGCCUUAGGGUCGUAAAGCUCUUUUACCCCGGAUGAUAAUGACAGUACCGGGAGAAUAGAGCUCCGGCUAACUCCGUGCCAGCAGCCGCGGUAAUACGGAGGGGACUAGCGUUGUUCGGAAUUACUGGGCGUAAAGCGCGCGUAAGCCGUUUUUUAAGUCAGAUGUGAAAGCCCAGUGCUCAACACUGGAACUGCCUUUGAAACUGGAAAACUUGAAUCUU
rnacentral:rRNA from 1 species